rnacentral:rRNA from 1 species
GGCCAGACUCCUACGGGAGGCAGCAGUGGGGAAUAUUGCACAAUGGGGGAAACCCUGAUGCAGCGACGCCGCGUGAGUGAAGAAGUAUUUCGGUAUGUAAAGCUCUAUCAGCAGGGAAGAAAAUGACGGUACCUGACUAAGAAGCCCCGGCUAACUACGUGCCAGCAGCCGCGGUAAUACGUAGGGGGCAAGCGUUAUCCGGAUUUACUGGGUGUAAAGGGAGCGUAGACGGCAUGGCAAGUCAGAUGUGAAAGCCCGGGGCUCAACCCCGGGACUGCAUUUGAAACUGUCAGGCUGGAGUGCAGGAGAGGUAAGUGGAAUUCCUAGUGUAGCGGUGAAAUGCGUAGAUAUUAGGAGGAACACCAGUGGCGAAGGCGGCUUACUGGACUGUAACUGACGUUGAGGCUCGAAAGCGUGGGGAGCAAACAGGAUUAGAUACCCCCGUAAC